CGACCCGGCGCGGCACGACCUUUCCCUCUGAAAGAACCGUGAGAAAGAACCCAACCCUGCCCCUCCAGCCUCCCCGGAACGGCACUCACUCACACGGGUGAAUUGCCCGAACUCAGCUGGGUUUCUUGGCAGUUGCCUGGCAUAUGCUCGGCCCGCCAACUCCAGACACAGGACGGCCCCCGCCGGGACUCGCAAUCCCGACGAGGGCCUGACCACGAGAAGGACCAAUCUUCCCG
rnacentral:ncRNA from 1 species